CGAUUUUAAAAAAAAAACAAAAAAUCCUCUGAAAGAGGAUUGAGGGCUGGCCCUCGGAGCUCCGUUGAGUCUCCGUCCACCGGUUCCCACACGCCUACGCGCCGCCCUCAACUCCGCCACAUACGGCGACCGGAAGCUGGAAAGCUUCGUUUUCAACUCAAAUCCAUCGGUACCAGCGAAGAAUCCGGCGGUGAAUGCGCUGGCGUUGAUUCGUGCACCGAUUACGGCGUGAUAUGGCGCUGAAGUCACGAUGUCGAUAGAGGCGUCGAUGAAGGUCACUGGAACGACGCAAAAAGGGUGUGACAAUUAGCGUGCCUGCGGCGCGAAUUCUAGAACCUUCCUUUAGCGUUUGAGGCGCCUAGGGUUUCAAAAACCCUAGGUCUUCCAUCCUCUGUUUGUAAUUUAGGCCUCCUUGGGCCGUGCCCAUUGUGGGUUGGGUGUAACCGGGAAUUGGGUAGUUUAGGUAUUUGGGCUACAAGUGUAAUGGGCCACUGGCUUAAUCUGUAAAUGGAGUGUAAAGGACUUUUUAUUAUUUUUUUUAUUUAUUUCUUUUCUUUUUUUUUGGGCCGGGCAAAUUUGUGUUAUUACAAAACCUAUUACUUGAAUUAUACCUAUGUUUUCAAA